UAUCUGUGAGUGCACCAUAAUAGUUGAUUUGCCCUUCUUUCGGGUGCUUAUCUCUUGAACUAGCAUAACUUUUUGUCUUAACAGUAACUACGAUGCCACUGUUUUGAGUCUUUAAGCCUCUUUCGCGGUUCUUUGUAUGGAAUCUAACUCCAUUAAUAAUAUAACCACUAUAUUUUCUCACUAUUUCUAGUGGACCACGUGCAAGCCAUUUGAUAUCAUCUGUCACUAGAGCACUACCUUGCUCUUCCAACCGUGAAACCUACAACAAUUGCAAAUUGUUA
rnacentral:lncRNA from 1 species